UACGUAGGGUGCAAGCGUUGUCCGGAAUUAUUGGGCGUAAAGAGCUCGUAGGCGGUUUGGUAAGUCGGGUGUGAAAUCUCCACGCUCAACGUGGAGGGGCCACUCGAUACUGCCAUGACUCGAGUCCGGUAGAGGAGUGUGGAAUUCCCGGUGUAGCGGUGAAAUGCGCAGAUAUCAGGAGGAACACCAGCGGCGAAGGCGCCGCUCUGGGCCGUAACUGACGCUGAGGAGCGAAAGCAUGGGUAGCAAACAGG
rnacentral:rRNA from 1 species